GGUUCCAUGGUGCAAUCGGUAGCACGUAUGCUUUACACGCAUAAGGUACUGGGAUCGAAACCCAGUGGGACCA
rfam:Acanthamoeba castellanii str. Neff unplaced genomic scaffold scf7180000084648, whole genome shotgun sequence.